GGAUGUGAGGGUGAUCUGGCUGUGACAUCUGUCACAUCAUUGAUUGCCAGGGUUGAUUUGGCUGAUCUGGCUGGCUACAGGCAUGUCCCCUUGCUCCUUAAAUGACCCAUGUGCAUCCCUCCCAAAGCUGCACACUCGGUCAAAGAGAACGACCACCCCUAAUAGAGGACUGUUCCUCAGUCAAGUGUAUAAGAGUAGCUGUGCUCCCCUAUUAGAACCUCCAAACAAGCUCUCAAGAAAAAUCUUUGGCACACCUAUUGGAUUCCUAAUUUCACCAGGAUUUCCUAUUUCUAUAAAGCUAUCCCUCAUCACUCUUUAUAG
rnacentral:snRNA from 1 species